AAGUUAAUACCUUGCUGUUUUGACGUUACCAACAGAAUAAGCACCGGCUAACUUCGUGCCAGCAGCCGCGGUAAUAA
rnacentral:rRNA from 1 species